rnacentral:rRNA from 1 species
UACGUAGGGUGCAAGCGUUGUCCGGAAUUAUUGGGCGUAAAGAGCUCGUAGGCGGUCUGUCGCGUCGGAUGUGAAAAUCCAGGGCUCAACCCUGGACCUGCAUUCGAUACGGGCAGACUAGAGUUCGGCAGGGGAGACUGGAAUUCCUGGUGUAGCGGUGAAAUGCGCAGAUAUCAGGAGGAACACCGGUGGCGAGGGCGGGUCUCUGGGCCGAUACUGACGCUGAGACGCGAAAGCGUGGGGAGCGAACAGG